rnacentral:rRNA from 1 species
UUAACACAUGCAAGUCGAACGGAAAGGCCCUGCUUUUGUGGGGUGCUCGAGUGGCGAACGGGUGAGUAACACGUGAGUAACCUGCCCUUGACUUUGGGAUAACUUCAGGAAACUGGGGCUAAUACCGGAUAGGAGCUCCUGCUGCAUGGUGGGGGUUGGAAAGUUUCGGCGGUUGGGGAUGGACUCGCGGCUUAUCAGCUUGUUGGUGGGGUAGUGGCUUACCAAGGCUUUGACGGGUAGCCGGCCUGAGAGGGUGACCGGCCACAUUGGGACUGAGAUACGGCCCAGACUCCUACGGGAGGCAGCAGUGGGGAAUAUUGCACAAUGGGCGGAAGCCUGAUGCAGCAACGCCGCGUGCGGGAUGACGGCCUUCGGGUUGUAAACCGCUUUCGCCUGUGACGAAGCGUGAGUGACGGUAAUGGGUAAAGAAGCACCGGCUAACUACGUGCCAGCAGCCGCGGUGAUACGUAGGGUGCGAGCGUUGUCCGGAUUUAUUGGGCGUAAAGGGCUCGUAGGUGGUUGAUCGCGUCGGAAGUGUAAUCUUGGGGCUUAACCCUGAGCGUGCUUUCGAUACGGGUUGACUUGAGGAAGGUAGGGGAGAAUGGAAUUCCUGGUGGAGCGGUGGAAUGCGCAGAUAUCAGGAGGAACACCAGUGGCGAAGGCGGUUCUCUGGGCCUUUCCUGACGCUGAGGAGCGAAAGCGUGGGGAGCGAACAGGCUUAGAUACCCUGGUAGUCCACGCUGUAAACGGUGGGUACUAGGUGUGGGGUCCAUUCCACGGGUUCCGUGCCGUAGCUAACGCUUUAAGUACCCCGCCUGGGGAGUACGGCCGCAAGGCUAAAACUCAAAGGAAUUGACGGGGCCCCGCACAAGCGGCGGAGCAUGCGGAUUAAUUCGAUGCAACGCGUAGAACCUUACCUGGGUUUGACAUGGAUCGGGAGUGCUCAGAGAUGGGUGUGCCUCUUUUGGGGUCGGUUCACAGGUGGUGCAUGGCUGUCGUCAGCUCGUGUCGUGAGAUGUUGGGUUAAGUCCCGCAACGAGCGCAACCCUUGUUCACUGUUGCCAGCACGUUAUGGUGGGGACUCAGUGGAGACCGCCGGGGUCAACUCGGAGGAAGGUGGGGAUGACGUCAAGUCAUCAUGCCCCUUAUGUCCAGGGCUUCACGCAUGCUACAAUGGCUGGUACAGAGAGUGGCGAGCCUGUGAGGGUGAGCGAAUCUCGGAAAGCCGGUCUCAGUUCGGAUUGGGGUCUGCAACUCGACCUCAUGAAGUCGGAGUCGCUAGUAAUCGCAGAUCAGCAACGCUGCGGUGAAUACGUUCCCGGGGCUUGUACACACCGCCCGUCAAGUCAUGAAAGUUGGUAACACCCGAAGCCGGUGGCCUAACCGUUGUGGGGGAGCCGUCGAAGGUGGGACUGGUGAUUAGGACUAAGUC